CCCGCUGAACUUAAGCAUAUCAAUAAGCGGAGGAAAAGAAACUAACAAGGAUUCCCCUAGUAACUGCGAGUGAAGCGGGAAAAGCUCAAAUUUAAAAUCUGGGGGUCCCUGUGGCCCUCCGAGUUGUAAUCUAGAGAAGUGCUAUCCGCGCUGGACCGUGUACAAGUCUCCUGGAACGGAGCGUCAUAGAGGGUGAGAAUCCCGUCUUUGACACGGACUACCAGGGCUUAUGUGAUGUGCUCUCAAAGAGUCGAGUUGUUUGGGAAUGCAGCUCAAAAUGGGUGGUAAAUUCCAUCUAAAGCUAAAUAUAGGCGAGAGACCGAUAGCGAACAAGUACCGUGAGGGAAAGAUGAAAAGCACUUUGGAAAGAGAGUUAAACAGUACGUGAAAUUGCUGAAAGGGAAACACUUGAAGUCAGUCGCGUCUUCCAGGACUCAGCCUCGCUUUUGCUUGGUGCAUUUUCUGGUUUGACGGGCCAGCAUCGAUUUUGACCGUUGGAGAAAGGUCGAGGGAACGUGGCACCUUCGGGUGUGUUAUAGCCCUCUAUCAUAUGCAAUGAUUGGAAUCGAGGAACGCAGCACGCCUUUAUGGCCGGGGUUUUGCCCACGUACGUGCUUAGGAUGCUGGCAUAAUGGCUUUAAGUGACCCGUCUUGAAACACGG
rnacentral:rRNA from 1 species